rnacentral:RNase_P_RNA from 1 species
GGCAGUCGGAUAGCUGCGUUGCGGAAAGUAAAAUCCGUUAAUGAGGAAAGUCCGGGCUUCACGGAAACAAGAUACCAGAUAACGUCUGGCUGGAGAAAUCCACGGGAAAGUGCCGCAGAAAAUUACCGCCGAGAUUUUUAUUUCGGUAAGGUUGAAAAGGCGAGGUAAGAGCUCACCGCGUAGGCAGUAAUGUUUAUGGCAAGGUAAACCCUAUCUGAUGUAAGACCAAAUUAGGAGGCUUUAAUUUUUUAGUUAAACGCAAGGAUUGUUUCCGGUCCGCUCCAGAGGUAGGUCGCACCAGUCAAGCGGUGACGCUUGGCGCAGAUGAAUAGCUAUCGCACAACUCUUUAUGCUCCUUUGUUGGGUAUAAAGCAAAUAGUGUACAGAACUCGGCUUAUAGAUUGCCUUC